rnacentral:rRNA from 1 species
CGAGGUCAACUGCUACUAGUGCUAUGAUCAGCGACUGAUUAGAAGCUUGCUUCGAUGACGUUAGCGGCGGACGGGUGAGUAACACGUGGGCAACCUGCCUGUAAGACUGGGAUAACUUCGGGAAACCGAAGCUAAUACCGGAUAGGAUCUUCUCCUUCAUGGGAGAUGAUUGAAAGAUGGUUUCGGCUAUCACUUACAGAUGGGCCCGCGGUGCAUUAGCUAGUUGGUGAGGUAACGGCUCACCAAGGCAACGAUGCAUAGCCGACCUGAGAGGGUGAUCGGCCACACUGGGACUGAGACACGGCCCAGACUCCUACGGGAGGCAGCAGUAGGGAAUCUACCACAAGGGACGAAAGUCUGACGGAGCAACGCCGCGUGAGUGAUGAGCCUUCCGGAUCGUAAAACUAUGUUGUAAGGGAAGAACAAGUACAAGAGUAACUGCUUGUACCUGGACGGUACCUAACAAGAAAGCAACGGCUAACUACGUGCCAGCAGCCGCGGUAAUACGUAGGUGGCAAGCGUUAUCCGGAAUUAUCGGGCGUAAAGCGCGCGCAGGCGGUUUCUUAAGUCUGAUGUGAAAGCCCACGGCUCAACCGUGGAGGGUCAUUGGAAACUGGGGAACUUGAGUGCAGAAGAGAAAAGCGGAAUUCCACGUGUAGCGGUGAAAUGCGUAGAGAUGUGGACGAACACCAGUGGCGAAAGCGGCUUUUUGGUCUGUAACUGACGCUGAGGCGCGAAAGCGUGGGGAGCAAACAGGAUUAGAUACCCUGGUAGUCCACGCCGUAAACGAUGAGUGCUAAGUGUUAGAGGGUUUCCGCCCUUUAGUGCUGCAGCUAACGCAUUAAGCACUACGACCGGCGAGUACGGUCCCAAGACUGAAACUCAAAGAAAUUGACGGCGGCCCGCACAGCGGUGGAGCAUAGGAUUAAGUCAAGCAACGCCAACAACCUAAACGGCUUGACUCCCCUGCAACUCUAGAAUGACCGUAACCCAUCCGGGACAAAGGAAAGGUGCUGCAUGGUUCUCCUCAGCGAGAGGCAGCAGAAGCCGGGUUAAGUCCCGCAACGAGCGCAACCCUUGAUCUUAGUUGCCAGCAUUUAGUUGGGCACUCUAAGGUGACUGCCGGUGACAAACCGGAGGAAGGUGGGGAUGACGUCAAAUCAUCAUGCCCCUUAUGACCUGGGCUACACACGUGCUACAAUGGAUGGUACAAAGGGCUGCAAGACCGCGAGGUCAAGCCAAUCCCAUAAAACCAUUCUCAGUUCGGAUUGUAGGCUGCAACUCGCCUACAUGAAGCUGGAAUCGCUAGUAAUCGCGGAUCAGCAUGCCGCGGUGAAUACGUUCCCGGGCCUUGUACACACCGCCCGUCACACCACGAGAGUUUUUGACACCCGAAGUCCGGGAGUAACCGUAACAAGGUAGCCGCCCUAUGGUGUCC